rfam:Salmo salar isolate Sally breed double haploid chromosome ssa23, whole genome shotgun sequence.
UAUGCACUCUACUGUAAGUCGCUCUGGAUAUUAGCGUCUGCUAAAUGACGUAAA